CAUUUGGAAUUACACAAAAAAGUUUUUUCAUUGGAAAGAGGUCUACGGAGACUUUUGGGAAAACAUUGACGUUUGCUGGCUUAUUUGGCAAAGAAAUAUGGGUACCUUAUAAGAAAUUAA
rnacentral:rRNA from 1 species